rnacentral:sRNA from 1 species
UGACGGUCUUAGGCCGCAACGCGUUCGC